rnacentral:misc_RNA from 1 species
GCGCCAGCGGUUGCAGCCGCUCGGGAAUGGUCUCGACGAUCUUGGCGAUCAGGUCCUGCGCCGCCUUCGCCAGCACCGGAUCGGCCCGCCCGGCCACCCAUUGCGCGCCAAGCACCGCCGCCUCGAUCUCGUCCGGCGUCAGCAUCAGCGGCGGCCUGUCGAAGCCUUUUUUNCUUCGCCCCGGAUCGGCACCCGCUGGCCGAUCAGGGUGGCGAUGUCGCGGUAGAUCGUGCGUUUUGAGGUCUCCAGUUCCUUGGCGAUGGCCUCGGCGGUCAGCGGCUU